UACGAAGGGGGCUAGCGUUGUUCGGAAUUACUGGGCGUAAAGCGCGCGCAGGUGGUUUUCCAAGUCAGUGGUGAAAGCCCGGAGCUCAACUCCGGAACUGCCAUUGAAACUGUGAAACUCGAGGACGAGAGAGGUGAGUGGAAUUCCCAGUGUAGAGGUGAAAGUCGUAGAUAUGCGCAAGAACACCAGUGGCGAAGGCAGCUCACUGGCCCGGUACUGACGCUGAGGUGCGAAAGCGUGGGGAGCAAACAGG
rnacentral:rRNA from 1 species